rnacentral:tRNA from 1 species
GGCUUUAUAGUGUAUAUUAGCACAUUAGAUUGCAAGUCUAACCGAGAAUUUUAUUCUAAGGCUU